GACGUAGGGGGGCGAGCGUUUGUCCGGAUUCACUGGGCGUAAAGCGCGCGUAGGCGGCUCGUUAAGUCGGAUGUGAAAACCCGGGGCUCAACCCCGGGCCUGCACCCGAUACUGGCGGGCUGGAGGCAGGUAGGGGAGAUCGGAAUUCCCGGUGUAGCGGUGAAAUGCGCAGAUAUCGGGAGGAACACCGGUGGCGAAGGCGGAUCUCUGGGCCUGUCCUGACGCUCAGGCGCGAAAGCUAGGGAAGCAAACAGG
rnacentral:rRNA from 1 species